rnacentral:rRNA from 1 species
GAUGAACGCUGGCGGCGGGCCUAAUACAUGCAAGUCGAGCGAACACACGAGGAGCUUGCUCCUCUGCCGUUAGCGGCGGACGGGUGAGUAACACGUGGAUAACCUACCUCUAUUACUGGGAUAACUUCGGGAAACCGCAGAUAAUAACGGCUAAUAUAUUGAACCGCUGGGUUCAAUAGUGAAUGACGGUUUUGCUGUCACUUAUAGCUGGAUCCGCGUCGGAUUAGCUAGUUGGUAAGGUAACGGCUUACCAAGGCAACGAUGCGUAGCCGACCUGAGAGGGUGAUCGGCCACACUGGAACUGAGACACGGUCCAGACUCCUACGGGAGGCAGCAGUGGGGAAUCUUCGGCAAUGGGCGAAAGCCUGACGGAGCAACGCCGCGUGAGUGAUGAAGGUCUUCGGAUCGUAAAGCCCUGUUAUUAGGAAAGAACAAAUGUAUGAGUAACCAUGGACGUCUUGACGGUACCCAAUCAGUAAGCAACGGCUAACUACGUG